AGUUCCUGCAGAGAAUUAAUAAGCACAUAAAAUUUUCAGUUUCAACAAGAGAUAUAUAUGGUUAAAAAGAAGGAAGCAAUUUUAUUUUAGUACCUAAUGCGUUAAUUGGUGAGACAGGUGUUUGGAAAAAUAUGACAGAGCUCACUAUAACUAUCACACGCUUCAGACAGUUUGCUACAGAAUGAGUAACAGAUUGCAGGUAAGCAGGGGUAAAUUUAACACCCUCCAUGAAGAGGGCUAUAGGUACUGAUAGGAAGAAUGACAUGACUGUUAUUACUGAGAAGAGGGUUAUGUUGUCCAUGGAUUCCUGAGAAGAAAAAAAUUAUUGUUAUUUAAUAUUGUGUAUAAGAAUAUGAAAUGAAACAUAAGUGCAAGGUUCUAAAAAAAUGGUAUGCUCCUACGAUGUCAAUUUUUUAUUUCUCUGCAAUCAUAUCACAACUGCGAUAAGCAGUGGUAUUUGUUUGUGAUUUUUCACAAUAUCAAACAUCGCAUGAUUAAAUUUUGGACAAGAGUUUCAUAACACAUUAUGUGAUACUCUUAACCAAGUUCAUCAAUCAUAAUAUCGUAUUAUUACCUCCUUGUUAA